AAAAGAUCAUAAUAACUGCAGUACUUUGUGAUCCUCCAUAGGCUUCAAGACACUGCCCAAGGGGUCCAUGACAAAAAUGGUUAUGAAUACCUGACUAAGUUCAAAUCUCAGCUGUGAGCCUUCUAGUAGCAUGGACCUGAGCAACUGUCUUCAACGUCCUAGGCCUGUUUUCCUCCACCUGUAGCAAGGGUAGAAUGGGAAAGCUAGUGUGGCUCCAGACUGCUCUGGGGUCAGGGAGACCUGGGUUCAACUCCUGCCUCCAAACACACAUUGGCUGGGAGACCUUGGCUAAGUCCCUUAAACCUGUUCCAGCUCGCUGGGACACAAUUCUACAAGGCGCAGAUCUGCAUUGGUGGAGGGGUUUUCCUCAAGAGGAAGCAAACAACCCUCAAGGAGACAGCCGACCCUCCCCCUUCCCCUGCCGACCGAGAUGAUUACUGUUAGUUACCCUUCACGGGCGGAGGCUCAGGAGUUUUCCGCAGCUGCCGGGAUGCAGGGCGGAGCAUCCGCUUCUCCUCCCCGCAGCCCGCGCUGUCCCAUCCUCGGAGCUGGGAAAGAGAAGCGGCGGGGGCGGCCCGCCCGCGGAGGGGGGGCUGCACGGGCGAGCCACACGCGGAGGGGAGGGGGCACGAGGUACUUUGUACCCCCUCCCCAACUUGAGCUUCAAAAUGGCGGUGAUGGAGAUGAGAUCACGUGAUCAUCGGACCGAGUCAGAUGAAGAAGCUGAGGCCCAAAAAGAAGUGACUUGGACAAGUUCACAGUUAAUGAUGUCAUUCACUCUGUGCUGACUGAAUUGUACUGACUGUACUGACUGAAUUGGGAAAAAAAUAAAAACUCUUGGAGCUAGUAACCUAGUGGCA
rnacentral:lncRNA from 1 species